rnacentral:lncRNA from 1 species
GUUUACAAAUAUCUCCUACGCUUCCAGUUCCCACUGCACAGGCAUUUCUGUCCCAAGUCCAAACCAUGGAACGCUUACCUCUGCUCUGUCCCAAGUCCAAACCAUGGAACGCUUACCUCUGCUCUUUCUCCUCCUCCUUACAGCCCUAUCCUCCACCCUAGCAUCCACAGUAUCUUCCAGCGAUCUCGACGAUCCUUUAAUCAGGCAAGUCGUGUCAGAGGGCGAGGAUCAUCUCCUCAACGCAGAGCAUCAUUUCACCACUUUCAAGUCCAAAUUCGGCAAAAAUUAUGCGACUCAAGAGGAACAUGAUUACCGAUUUAGUGUUUUCAAAGCUAAUCUCCUCCGUGCCAAGAAACACCAGAUAAUGGACCCUACCGCUGCCCAUGGCGUCACUAAAUUCUCUGAUCUUACUCCCAAAGAAUUCCGCCGCCAGCUCCUUGGAUUGAAGCGGCGGCUUCGGUUGCCGACGGAUGCUAACAAGGCGCCGAUCCUUCCUACUGGCGAUCUUCCUACUGAUUUUGACUGGCGUGACCACGGUGCCGUUACUAGCGUCAAAGACCAGGUAUCUUAUCUUAAUAUCCUUUUUCCUGGCUUUUACUGUCAAGCAUCAUCGGACCAGUACUUUUCAUGUCUGUCGAGCUUUUCGAUAUUUUAUGUUGUGCUAUGUGUUAAAAGAUUGGGAUUUCGAUAGGGAUCGUGUGGAUCGUGCUGGUCGUUUAGUGCUACAGGGGCAUUGGAAGGAGCUCAUUACUUAGCAACAGGAGAGCUUGUAAGCUUGAGCGAGCAACAGCUUGUGGAUUGUGAUCACGAGGUUUGACUUCCUUAUUUUCAUGCUCUUGAUUCAGUCUUUCUUUCAUUUAUAACUAAUAUUAAUUUUUAUGGAUUAUUAGCAGUAGUUGUGAUUCUUGUAGUCGUACAUGGUCUGGGAAUUUGUCAAGUGCCUGGAAGACUACGAGUCUACGAGGGUUUUGAUUUUUUUAACAUGAAAAAUGGAUUUUCUUUUUUAAAAAAAGCUUAUUCAUUUUCUAUCAAAGGAAAUACGAAAAUUUAGUUACUGUGCUAUGAUUCCUCGUUAUGGUGUCCUAUUGGAACCGUUACAGUGUGAUCCAGAAGAAUAUGGUGCCUGUGACUCGGGCUGCAGUGGUGGGCUGAUGAACAAUGCCUUUGAGUACGCACUGAAGGCCGGUGGUCU